GGCCCCAUCGUCUAACGGUUAGGACACGGGCUUUUCAAGCCUGUAAUCCGGGUUCGAUUCCCGGUGGGGUCA
rfam:Parcubacteria (Thrbacteria) bacterium GW2011_GWF2_41_16 TT48_C0003, whole genome shotgun sequence.